rnacentral:rRNA from 1 species
ACGCUAGCUACAGGCUUAACACAUGCAAGUCGAGGGGAAACGGCAUUGAGUGCUUGCACUCUUUGGACGUCGACCGGCGCACGGGUGAGUAACGCGUAUCCAACCUUCCCAUUACUGUGGGAUAACCUGCCGAAAGGCAGACUAAUACCGCAUAGUCUUCGAUGACGGCAUCAGAUUUGAAGUAAAGAUUUAUCGGUAAUGGAUGGGGAUGCGUCUGAUUAGCUUGUUGGCGGGGUAACGGCCCACCAAGGCGACGAUCAGUAGGGGUUCUGAGAGGAGGGUCCCCCACAUUGGAACUGAGACACGGUCCAAACUCCUACGGGAGGCAGCAGUGAGGAAUAUUGGUCAAUGGACGGAAGUCUGAACCAGCCAAGUAGCGUGCAGGAUGACGGCCCUAUGGGUUGUAAACUGCUUUUGUAUGGGGAUAAAGUUAGGGACGUGUCCCUAUUUGCAGGUACCAUACGAAUAAGGACCGGCUAAUUCCGUGCCAGCAGCCGCGGUAAUACGGAAGGUCCAGGCGUUAUCCGGAUUUAUUGGGUUUAAAGGGAGCGUAGGCUGGAGAUUAAGUGUGUUGUGAAAUGUAGACGCUCAACGUCUGAAUUGCAGCGCAUACUGGUUUCCUUGAGUACGCACAACGUUGGCGGAAUUCGUCGUGUAGCGGUGAAAUGCUUAGAUAUGACGAAGAACUCCGAUUGCGAAGGCAGCUGACGGGAGCGCAACUGACGCUUAAGCUCGAAGGUGCGGGUAUCAAACAGGAUUAGAUACCCUGGUAGUCCGCACAGUAAACGAUGGAUGCCCGCUGUUGGUACCUGGUAUCAGCGGCUAAGCGAAAGCAUUAAGCAUCCCACCUGGGGAGUACGCCGGCAACGGUGAAACUCAAAGGAAUUGACGGGGGCCCGCACAAGCGGAG